rnacentral:tRNA from 1 species
CCGACCUUAGCUCAGUUGGUAGAGCGGAGGACUGUAGUGUGGUGUAGACCUUUCAGAUAUCCUUAGGUCGCUGGUUCGAAUCCGGCAGGUCGGA